rnacentral:rRNA from 1 species
UGGUCCUACGGGACGCAGCAGUGAGGAAUAUUGGUCAAUGGUCGGGAGACUGAACCAGCCAAGCCGCGUGAGGGAUGAAGGUACAGAGUAUCGUAAACCUCUUUUGUCAGGGAACAAAGGCGGGGACGCGUCCCCGGAUGAGUGUACCUGAAGAAAAAGCAUCGGCUAACUCCGUGCCAGCAGCCGCGGUAAUACGGAGGAUGCGAGCGUUAUCCGGAUUUAUUGGGCGUAAAGGGAACGCAGGCGGUCUUUUAAGUCUGAUGUGAAAGCCUUCGGCUUAACCGGAGUAGUGCAUUUGAAACUGG